rnacentral:rRNA from 1 species
AGCGAACGCUGGCGGCAUGCCUAACACAUGCAAGUCGAACGGACCUUUCGUGCUUGCUGGCUGACGGGUGGGUAACCCGUGGGAACGUGCCUUUAGGUUCGGACUAGCUCAUCGGAACUUGUGCGAAUACCUGAUUUGACCUCCGGGGGGAAGAUUGAUCGGGUUUAGCGGGGGGCGCGUCUGUUUAGCUAGUUGGUUGCGGUAGUGGUACACCAUGGCGACGAGCGGUAGCUGGUCUGAGAGGAUGAUCAGCCAGAUUGGGACUGAGACCCGGCGCAAACGCCUACGAGAGGCAGCAGAGGGGGAUCUAGCGGAAUGAGCGAAAGGCUGACACGGCGAGGCCGGGAUAAUGAUGAAGGGGUUAGGAUUGUAAAAUUCUUUCACCGAAGACGAUUAUGACGGUACCCGGAGAAGAAGCCCCGGCUAACUACGUG